UUUGAGAGUUUGAUCCUGGCUCAGGAUGAACGCUGGCGGUAUGCCUAACACAUGCAAGUCGAACGAAUUUUUUUUUAUUUUAGUGGCGAACGGGUGCAUAAUACAUGAGAAUUUACCUCUGGGAGGAGAAUAACUACUUAGAAUAGUAUCUAAAUCUCCAUAUAAUCACUAGUUAUUAGUGAUAAAAUAGUGAGGGAGCAUAUUUUAUGCUGUUUACUGUCCAAAGAUAAGCUCAUGUCUGAUUAGCUAGUUGGUGAGUUAAUAGCUUACCAAGGUAUUGAUCAGUAGCUGGUUUGAGAGAAUGGUCAGCCACACUGGGACUGAGACACGGCCCAGACUCCCUUGGGAGGCAGCAGUGAGGAAUUUUCCGCAAUGGGCAAAGGCCUGACGGAGCGAUACCGCGUGAGGGAAGAAGGAUUAUGGUUUGUAAACCUCUUUUUUCAAGAAAGAAACCAUGACGGUACUUGAGGAAUCAGCAUCGGCUAACUCCGUGCCAGCAGCCGCGGUAAUACGGGGGAUGCAAGCGUUAUCCGGAAUUAUUGGGCGUAAAGGGCCUGUAGGUUGCUUAUUAAGUUUGUAGUUAAAGACUAGGGCUCAACCUUAGAAAAGCUGUAAAUACUAAUUAGCUAGAGUAUGGAAGGGGUAGGGGGAAUUUCUAGUGUAGUAGUAAAAUGCUCUGAUAUUAGAAGGAACGCCAGAGGCGAAGGCGCUCUACUGGAACAUUACUGACACUAUAAGGCGAAAGCUAGGGGAGCGAAAGGGAUUAGGUACCCCUGUAGUCCUAGCCGUAAACGAUGAAUACUCAGAUUCGGAAAAGCGUAUCUUUUUCGGAUUUCAAGCUAACGCAUUAAGUAUUCCGCCUGGGGAGUACGCUCGCAAGUGUGAAACUCAAAGGAAUUGACGGGGGCCCACACAAGCGGUGGAGCAUGUGGUUUAAUUCGAUUCAACGCGAAGAACCUUACCAGGACUUUUAUCUAUUUAAUUUUAAGAAAUUAAAAUUUAGUGAAGUAGAAAUAGGUGGUGCAUGGCUGUCGCCAGCUCGUGUCGUGAGAUGUUGGGUUAAUUCCCUUAACGAGCGCAACCCUUGUUUGGUCAGUUGUUAUGGAUUUCUGAGAAGACUGCCGAUGAGAAAUCGGAGGAAGGUAAGGAUGACGUCAAGUCAGUAUGCCCCGUAUGUCCUGGGCUACACACGUGCUACAAUGGCGCAUACAAAGGGCAGCUACAUGGUGACAUGAUGCUAAUCUCUAAAGUGCGUCUCAGUUCGGAUCGAAGUCUGCAACUCGACUUCGUGAAGCUGGAAUCGCUAGUAAUCGCGCAUCAGCCAUGGCGCGGUGAAUACGUUCCCGGGCCUUGUACACACCGCCCGUCAAGCCAUGGAAGCUGGGGGUGCCUGAAGUCGGUAACCGCAAGGAGCUGCCUAGGGCAA
rnacentral:rRNA from 15 species